rnacentral:rRNA from 1 species
UACGAAGGGUGCAAGCGUUGUUCGGAAUCAUUGGGCGUAAAGCGCGCGCAGGCGGGUCAAUAAGUCAGGUGUGAAAUCUCGGAGCUCAACUCCGAAACUGCGCCUGAAACUAUUGGUCUAGAAUGUCGGAGGGGGUAGGGGAAUUUCACGUGUAGGGGUAAAAUCCGUAGAGAUGUGAAGGAACACCGGAGGCGAAGGCGCCUGCCUGGACGACUAUUGACGCUGAGGCGCGAAAGCGUGGGGAGCAAACAGG